rnacentral:rRNA from 1 species
GGCAUUAAAGUAACUCGUAUUGCGCAUGGUCUGCCAGUUGGUGGAGAUUUAGAAUAUGCAGAUGAAGUGACACUAUCCAAAGCGUUAGAAGGUCGCAGAGAAGUAUAAGAGGAGAAACAAAAAUGUUCUUUCAAAAAAAGGGUAAAUUGCGUAAAGAGUAUGACGAUAAGUUAAUUGUACUUUUGGAAAAAGUGAAGAAUGAGUGGUUACGUCAGAAGAGAAUGGUCGAACAAAGUGUAGAACCGUCUCAAGAUGUCAUUUGUUCUUUGAAAAUAGCAGAGGCGAAAUAUUUCUUUUUGUUGAAAGAAGCAAAGCGUCGUCCUGUAAAAAUGGAACAAUGGUAAAGGGUUCUGCUUUCUAAGCAGGCCUUUUUAUUUUAUUUGUUAAAUGCUGAGUUAUUGUUUUAUUUAGUUUAUAUGAAAGGGAUGCCACUUAUGAUAACUGUUCUUUUUUAUUGUCUUGUCCCAUACAAAUAGAUGUAUAGGUCAUUCAUAAGGAGGAAAAAAUGAAUUCUACAAUUAUUAUUGUUGGCAUUCUUACUUUAGUAUUUAUUUUUCUUGUUUUUGGUGUUGCCUCUAAGCCAUUACGUUUUAUAGGUAAGGUGAUUUUUCAUGUUACUUUAGGAAUAGCGUUGCUUUUUAUCGUAAAUGUUAUAGGGACAUAUUUUGAUUUUCAUAUCCCGAUUAACAUGGGUACAGCAGCAAUAACGAGUUUAUUAGGCCUACCCGGUGUGGCAGCAUUAGUGAUUAUUAAGCUUUAUAUCAUGCCAAGAUAAAAUUAUUUUGGCAUUUUUUUUAAAAGUGUUGACUAUUAAAUGAUUAAUAUGGUAAAUUAAUAAGCGUCGUCAGCAGCGAAAGAAAAAAACUGUUGACAGAUUUAACGAGAAAUGUUAAAUUAUAAAAGUCGCUAAAACGCGAUGUUGAACUUUGAAAACUAAACGAAACAAACAACGUGAAACGUCAAUUUUUAUUUUAGAUGCUAGACAAACUAACUUUAUUGGAGAGUUUGAUCCUG